GCUUACGGCCAUACCACCCUGAGAACACCCGAUCUCGUCUGAUCUCGGAAGCUAAGCAGGGUCGGGCCUGGUUAGUACUUGGAUGGGAGACCGCCUGGGAAUACCCGGUGCUGUAAGCU
rnacentral:rRNA from 1 species